AGACCCGAAACCCGGUGAUCUAGCCAUGGGCAGGUUGAAGGUUGGGUAACACUAACUGGAGGACCGAACCGACUAAUGUUGAAAAAUUAGCGGAUGACCUGUGGCUGGGGGUGAAAGGCCAAUCAAACCGGGAGAUAGCUGGUUCUCCCCGAAAGCUAUUUAGGUAGCGCCUCGUGAAUUCAUCUCCGGGGGUAGAGCACUGUUUCGGCUAGGGGGCCAUCCCGGCUUACCAACCCGAUGCAAACUGCGAAUACCGGAGAAUGUUAUCACGGGAGACACACGGCGGGUGCUAACGUCCGUCGUGAAGAGGGAAACAACCCAGACCGCCAGCUAAGGUCCCAAAGUCAUGGUUAAGUGGGAAACGAUGUGGGAAGGCCCAGACAGCCAGGAUGUUGGCUUAGAAGCAGCCAUCAUUUAAAGAAAGCGUAAUAGCUCACUGGUCGAGUCGGCCUGCGCGGAAGAUGUAACGGGGCUAAACCAUGCACCGAAGCUGCGGCAGCGACACUCAGGUGUUGUUGGGUAGGGGAGCGUUCUGUAAGCCUGCGAAGGUGGCCUGUGAGGGUUGCUGGAGGUAUCAGAAGUGCGAAUGCUGACAUAAGUAACGAUAAAGCGGGUGAAAAGCCCGCUCGCCGGAAGACCAAGGGUUCCUGUCC
rnacentral:rRNA from 1 species